rnacentral:rRNA from 1 species
AGAGUUUGAUCAUGGCUCAGGACGAACGCUGGCGGCGUGCUUAACACAUGCAAGUCGAACGGAAAGGCCCUGCUUUUGUGGGGUGCUCGAGUGGCGAACGGGUGAGUAACACGUGAGUAACCUGCCCUUGACUUUGGGAUAACUUCAGGAAACUGGGGCUAAUACCGGAUAGGAGCUCCUGCUGCAUGGUGGGGGUUGGAAAGUUUCGGCGGUUGGGGAUGGACUCGCGGCUUAUCAGCUUGUUGGUGGGGUAGUGGCUUACCAAGGCUUUGACGGGUAGCCGGCCUGAGAGGGUGACCGGCCACAUUGGGACUGAGAUACGGCCCAGACUCCUACGGGAGGCAGCAGUGGGGAAUAUUGCACAAUGGGCAGAAGCCUGAUGCAGCAACGCCGCGUGCGGGAUGACGGCCUUCGGGUUGUAAACCGCUUUCGCCUGUGACGAAGCGUGAAGUGACGUAAUGG